GACGAACGCUGGCGGCGUGCCUAAUACAUGCAAGUAGAACGCACAGUUUAUACCGUAGCUUGCUACACCAUAAACUGUGAGUUGCGAACGGGUGAGUAACGCGUAGGUAACCUGCCUGGUAGCGGGGGAUAACUAUUGGAAACGAUAGCUAAUACCGCAUAAUAUUAAUUAUUGCAUGAUAAUUGAUUGAAAGAUGCAAUUGCAUCACUACCAGAUGGACCUGCGUUGUAUUAGCUAGUAGGUGAGGUAACGGCUCACCUAGGCGACGAUACAUAGCCGACCUGAGAGGGUGAUCGGCCACACUGGGACUGAGACACGGCCCAGACUCCUACGGGCGGCAGCAGUAGGGAAUCUUCGGCAAUGGACGAAAGUCUGACCGAGCAACGCCGCGUGAGUGAAGAAGGUUUUCGGAUCGUAAAGCUCUGUUGUAAGAGAAGAACGGGUGUGAGAGUGGAAAGUUCACACUGUGACGGUAUCUUACCAGAAAGGGACGGCUAACUACGUG
rnacentral:rRNA from 1 species